rnacentral:rRNA from 1 species
ACGCUCGACACCUACGGGAUGCAGCAGUUGGGAAUAUUGGACAAUGGAGGAAACUCUGAUCCAGUGACGCCGCGUGAAGGAAGAAGGUCUUCGGAUUGUAAACUUAUUUUGUCAGGGAAGAAAAAAUGACUGUACCUGAAGAAAAAGCACCGGCUAACUACGUGCCAGAAGCCGCGGUAAUCUGAGCGGGCUGGCAAGGC